GGAGCUUGCUCCCGAUGAUUAGCGGCGGACGGGUGAGUAACACGUGGGCAACCUGCCUAUAAGACUGGGAUAACUUCGGGAAACCGGAGCUAAUACCGGAUAAUGCUUUCGAACACAUGUUUGAAAGCUGAAAGAUGGUUUCGGCUAUCACUUAUAGAUGGGCCCGCGGCGCAUUAGCUAGUUGGUGAGGUAACGGCUCACCAAGGCGACGAUGCGUAGCCGACCUGAGAGGGUGAUCGGCCACACUGGGACUGAGACACGGCCCAGACUCCUACGGGAGGCAGCAGUAGGGAAUCUUCCGCAAUGGACGAAAGUCUGACGGAGCAACGCCGCGUGAGUGAUGAAGGUUUUCGGAUCGUAAAACUCUGUUGUUAGGGAAGAACAAGUAUCGGAGUAACUGNNNNNNNCUUGACGGUACCUAACCAGAAAGCCACGGCUAANUACNUGCCAGNAGCCGCGGUAAUACGUANGUGGCNAGCGUUGUCCGGAAUUAUUGGGCGUAAAGCGCGCGCANGCGGUUCCUUAAGUCUGAUGUGAAAGCCCACGGCUCNNNCGUGGANGGUCAUUGGAAACUGGGGAAC
rnacentral:rRNA from 1 species